GGAUGAGAGACGAAAGACGACGGAGCUGUCAAACACCAACAAUCGACUGAAAUAUUAUCCCGGGCGGUACAAAAACACGGUCAUUUGGUCAUUUGUGGAUACAAGGACAACAUAAGCAGUCUCUGAAUUGAUUGUGACACUUGAGCCUUUGGGAAUUUGGACUUUUCAAUCGUCGCGACGAGAAACUUCUUGUUUGUGUGUGUUUGCAGGAUCCAGGGGCUAAUGUCUGUUAGCUCUCUGCUCAGCUCCAGUUUUGUUGACAAACUAGCCCGUCCGCUAGUCACGAAGCUAGCCUCGGUCCCAACCCUGCUGUUUUGGCGUUAAUUGGACGUUUUCUUCAAAUGGCACCUGGUAAAAGACACGAAAACGAGUUUGCACUGUUACUGCAAACACCUCUAUGAAAUAAAAACAGUGCCUGUCCCCUCGGUUUGUUCCAUUAUUUCAAAACUCUGAAGAAUGAGAGGAAGUGACUAUGAAUGAUGUGCGUUUCAUUUUUACCUAAUGAGUAGGUGUAUGUUCUAUUCAGCACACAUAAGAUGCUCAGUCGUCAGGUCAAUUUUUCACUUACUGUUGAGACAUAGGAUCUGAAAUAUGUCUUCAGUGGAAAUGUACAGU
ensembl:lncRNA